UACGAAGGGGGCUAGCGUUGCUCGGAAUUACUGGGCGUAAAGGGCGCGUAGGCGGCACUGUUAGUCAGGCGUGAAAGUCCUGGGCUCAACCUGGGAACUGCGCUUGAUACGGCAGAGCUAGAGGAUGGAAGAGGGUCGCGGAAUUCCCAGUGUAGUGGUGAAAUUCGUAGAUAUUGGGAAGAACACCGGUGGCGAAGGCGGCGACCUGGUCCAUUACUGACGCUGAGGCGCGACAGCGUGGGGAGCAAACAGG
rnacentral:rRNA from 1 species